rnacentral:lncRNA from 1 species
UGUCUAUCCAAACAUCAAGUAACAAAUUAACAACUUGCAUUAACAAGCUUAGUACUCCAAAAUUUUCUGGUCUCCUUAUCACUUAUUUGAUUUUUAUCACUUCUUUGAUCCUCAUCAUUUCUGUUGCCAAUUGUAUGACAUUUCUAACAUUUCCAAGUUUCCUUUACUUUAUAGGUCUACAUGGUUAUAGAUUUCCUUUGUUGAUUGUCUCUUUUUUGUGUUUUUUUGUUUCUGUUUUGCUAUUAUUAAGCUCCUGUUUGGCCCCCGUUAUUUGAAUUUAUAAUGGGGGGUAAUAGUAUUUUUUUGAAAAUUGCGUGGUUGAAAAAUUUUCGAUUUGAGUGUAAUAUUAUUUUAUUGAAAAUUAUGUGGUUGAAAGUAGGAGAGAGAAAAAAUUAAAUUAAAUUGAAGAGUUUUAAAGAGGGCCAAACGGGGGCUAAUUCGAUUAUCUGGAAGUUAUUCUUGUUGUAGUUCUGCCAUAGCAGGUUACAGGAGUCCCCUUGCUAAAUACUCGUAAUUGGUCUGAAUUUAUUGAUUCUUCUUUUUAUCUUGUAAUGCAAAUAUGAAAUUUGAGUCAUUUCUUAAUCUGUAGAAAGCACGCUCGGAUUCAAUUAUUAAAUUGCCUUUGCUAGUUUGAUACUGUUAUAAUUGAACAUAACUUGCCUGACAAACAAAUUCAGCAGUGUCACUUUUGAAUUUUGUAUAGGAUGUAUUAAGUUGACUGUUGAAUUGGAAAGCAAAAAUAAAAUUUUGUUGAAAGAUAUUAUGUGAUGGUAAUGUGCAAUAUAUAUUUCUUACAUUUGGGGUUACCUGGUUCCAAUUUGUGCAUUUUACAGUGGAUGCGAAAAAUAACAAAUCCUACAUGUUCACUAAUUUUGCUCGAAAAGUAGUAAAUUUUGUGGAAAGAUAACCGAUAUUGAUAAUGGGGAAUAUAUAUUUUUGGCUUUAGGUUUUGAGAUGAUAAGUUCCAGUUUAAUGCAUUUUACAGUGGAAGAAGAAGCGUAUGAGAAGGUUGAAGAGGAAGCGCCGAAAGAUGAGACAAAGAUCCAAGUAGAGGAUGGAAAUCGAUAGUGAGAUUGUUCUUUUUUCAGAACCAGCUUCUUUUCUGGCUGACUAGCAAUCACGAUGAACUGAAGGAAGUUCUGUAUGGGGACCUUUCUUGUUGUCUAUUCUGUUCCUAUCUUGCCUUCGAGCAUCUUGUUUUCUAUGAGUUUUGGGAAAAUUUAUGUUUUACAGUUAUGACUAGCUUCUGCUACUUUUAUGUUGUCAUUUGAGUGAAAAACUCUUGUUAAAACCUAGUUUAUCCAUUCUGCGCAACUAAGGAUUGAUCUAUGAAUGGAUGCAGUGUUUUUAGCCAUAUAUCUCUAUUGAUGUCUUCUUUCAUUUAUUGCUUUUGGCUCAGCAAUCGGCAUUUGGUGAACAAGUUUUUGGUUAGUUGGGUGCAUCAAAUUCCUUUUUGCCUUGUUACAUUUGAUGGUUUUCAUGUUGUGUUUGCUUGAACUCAAACUGCAAGUGUACUACAUUCUUUUCCUAUGUGGGAUAUAUUUUUCUUGGAUCUAGAUGCAUGAAGGUAAUUGAAGAAGCUGUCAUGGAUACGAAGAUGCUUAAAUCUAUGAUCUAUGUGGUUGGAGUUUUGCUACUCUUCGAAUAAAUAUCGAGAUUGAAAGAAAGUGUUUUGAGUGAGAUUCUAUUUCCAGUUUCCAAUGAAAUGCUUCCAUGGAAUUUGUUGCCUCAGCUAGAUUUUUGGUAUGUGCAAGUAUGACGGUUCUCUGAAGAAGCUUGACAAAUAGGUUCUCCUGUUGAACACUGGUUUACUUAACGGUGGAUAGUGCAUGUAAUGCACUUUUUAACUUGGCCAAGUGGUGAGUCACAACUUUCUAUCAUUUGGAGACAUUUUGACUUGUGCUGUCGAUUGUAUGCACUCUUAUAGCUUGUUUGUUUAGCUUCCUCUGAGAUGCUUUCAAUGGUGGUUGCCCUCUUAAGUUGCAGGCACUAUGUUCUUUAUCUUUGUCUGUCUUUAUACUGUCCAUAUUUGAU